rnacentral:rRNA from 1 species
GAAGAACGCUGGCGGCGUGCCUAAUACAUGCAAGUCGAGCGAACGGACGAGAAGCUUGCUUCUCUGAUGUUAGCGGCGGACGGGUAAGUAACACGUGGAUAACCUACCUAUAAGACUGGGAUAACUUCGGGAAACCGGAGCUAAUACCGGAUAAUAUUUUGAACCGCAUGGUUCAAAAGUGAAAGACGGUCUUGCUGUCACUUAUAGAUGGAUCCGCGCUGCAUUAGCUAGUUGGUAAGGUAACGGCUUACCAAGGCAACGAUGCAUAGCCGACCUGAGAGGGUGAUCGGCCACACUGGAACUGAGACACGGUCCAGACUCCUACGGGAGGCAGCAGUAGGGAAUCUUCCGCAAUGGGCGAAAGCCUGACGGAGCAACGCCGCGUGAGUGAUGAAGGUCUUCGGAUCGUAAAACUCUGCUAUUAGGGAAGAACAUAUGUGUAAGUAACUGUGCACAUCUUGACGGUACCUAAUCAGAAAGCCACGGCUAACUACGUG